AGACGUAGGGGGCGAGCGUUGUCCGGAAUUACUGGGCGUAAAGAGCACGUAGGCGGAUGUUUAAGUCAGGUGUGAAAGACCGCAGCCCAACUGCGGGGUUGCACUUGAAACUGAAUGUCUUGAGGGCAGGAGAGGUCAGUAGAAUUCCUGGUGUAGCGGUGAAAUGCGUAGAAAUCAGGAGGAAUACCAGUGGCGAAGGCGACUGACUGGACUGACCCUGACGCUGAGGUGCGAAAGCGUGGGUAGCAAACAGGAUUAGAUACCCUGGUAGUCCACGCCGUAAACGAUGGAUACUAGGUGUGGGAGGUAUCGACCCCUUCCGUGCCGCAGCAAACGCAAUAAGUAUCCCGCCUGGGGAGUACGGUCGCAAGGCUGAA
rnacentral:rRNA from 1 species